UACGUAUGGUGCAAGCGUUAUCCGGAUUUACUGGGUGUAAAGGGAGCGCAGGCGGCACGGCAAGCCUGAUGUGAAAGCCCGCGGCCCAACCGCGGGACUGCAUUGGGAACUACCGGGCUGGAGUGCCGGAGAGGUAGGCGGAAUUCCUAGUGUAGCGGUGAAAUGCGUAGAUAUUAGGAGGAACACCAGUGGCGAAGGCGGCCUACUGGACGGUGACUGACGCUGAGGCUCGAAAGCGUGGGUAUCGAACAGG
rnacentral:rRNA from 1 species